rnacentral:rRNA from 1 species
UACGUAGGCAGCAAGCGUUGUUCGGAGUUACUGGGCGUAAAGGGUGUGUAGGCGGUUGUUUUAAGUUUGGUGUGAAAUCUCCCCGGCUCAACUGGGGAGGUGCGCCGAAUACUGAAUGACUAGAGUGCGGGGAGAGGAAAGUGGAAUUCCUGGUGUAGCGGUGAAAUGCGUAGAUAUCAGGAGGAACACCAAUGGCGAAGGCAGCUCGCUGGGACGGUACUGACGCUGAGACGCGAAAGCGUGGGGAGCAAACAGG